rnacentral:rRNA from 1 species
UACGUAGGGUGCGAGCGUUGUCCGGAAUUAUUGGGCGUAAAGCGCGUGUAGGCGGCCAGAUAAGUCCGCUAGUGAAAUCUCGAGGCUCAACUUCGAGCUGUCGGUGGAAACUGUCUGGCUAGAGUCCGGAAGAGGAGAAUGGAAUUCCUGGUGUAGCGGUGAAAUGCGCAGAUAUCAGGAAGAACACCCGUGGCGAAGGCGGUUCUCUGGGACGGUACUGACGCUGAGACGGCGAAAGCGUGGGGAGCGAACAGG